AGAGUUUGAUCAUGGCUCAGGAUGAACGCUAGCUACAGGCUUAACACAUGCAAGUCGAGGGCAGCAUGGUCUUAGCUUGCUAAGGCCGAUGGCGACCGGCGCACGGGUGAGUAACACGUAUCCAACCUGCCGUCUACUCUUGGACAGCCUUCUGAAAGGAAGAUUAAUACAAGAUGGCAUCAUGAGUUCACAUGUUCACAUGAUUAAAGGUUUUACCGGUAGACGAUGGGGAUGCGUUCCAUUAGAUAGUAGGCGGGGUAACGGCCCACCUAGUCUUCGAUGGAUAGGGGUUCGUGAGAGGAAGGUCCCCCACAUUGGAACUGAGACACGGUCCAAACUCCUACGGGAGGCAGCA
rnacentral:rRNA from 1 species